rnacentral:rRNA from 1 species
AGAGUUUGAUCAUGGCUCAGAUUGAACGGCUGGCGGCAGGCUUAACACAUGCAAGUCGAACGGUAACAGAACUAGCUUGCUAGUUGCUGACGAGUGGCGGACGGGUGAGUAACGCGUAGGAAUCUACCGAAUAGUGGGGGACAACAGUUGGAAACGGCUGCUAAUACCGCAUACGCCCUACCGGGGGAAAGGAGGGGAUCUUCGGACCUUUCGCUAUUUGAUGAGCCUGCGUGAGAUUAGUUAGUUGGUGGGGUAAUGGCUCACCCAAGGCGACGAUCUCUAGCUGGUCUGAGAGGAUGAUCAGCCACACUGGGAGUGAGACACGGCCCAGACUCCUACGGGAGGCAGCAGUGGGGAAUAUUGCACAAUGGGGGAAAGCGCUGAUGCAGCCAUGCCGCGUGUGUGAAGAAGGCCUUCGGGUUGUAAAGCACUUUCAGAUUGUGAGGAAAG